AAGGAGAGACUGAGCAAAUGCAAACAGGAAGUAGUGGCAUAAAUUACACCAGCGAUGGGAUAAAGAGACACACAGCAGGAUGUCCAGAGUUCAGCUCCCAGGACUGAACUGGCAAGUCCUAAACACACACAAGGCCUGGCACCACCAGCUACGGUGUUCAGGGCUGCUGGCAGUCAAGGCUACAAGCAAGUAGCUCUGUGCCUGUGUGUGUGCAAGUGGCACACAGACGGUUGUAAGAGAGAAUCUGAGUUUGCUUCCUAGAGACAAAAUAUACACAGUUAAGAUCCACAGACAAAAGCUUCUUAUGUUUAGUGGGGUUUUUUUUGGUGGGGAGUGGGGUGCUUACAAAGAAAGAGUUCUAGAAUCCCAACAUUUCAUGGGUGCCACAAAGCAGGAUAGUCAAACCUAGAAAUCCAUCAUGCCCUACACUUUAAGGCCUGGACAGACAGUCCCAUUGCGUGGACGAAAAAAGGCCUGGGAUGUCACUGAAUUUAGCAGCCAGAUCAUAGCAAGACAGAAGGGAGAAAAUGCAUAGACAACACUUCAGUGACUCACUCAUGUUUGAUGAAAGCUGGGAGGAGGCCUGGAGAAUCCAAGCUACAAGCACAAAACGUACAAAUACUGGAAUCUCCCAUCAAGAGAAGGAAAUUUAGCCACCUAUCUGGUUUGUCAUUUUGCUGAACUUCCACUGAAGGAGGAAGGGCCAGCUUUAAACUCCACCCACCCUUUCCACAUCCUUCUCAAUUUUUGCUUUGAUGGGAAAGUGGGGAAACUGGCGGCCCCACCAUGGCUAAAAGAGAAUCAAAUCCUUUCUAUACUUCCUCUCAAAGCAGAGGCCUAGUAGCUCCAGUCCACAGCUUAACCAAGCAGAGGGAAUAGGGGCUUGUCCUGGUUACUGUAGGAAAGCCUCAUCAGGCAGUCUCAGGGAAGGAAGAUGACCACCCUCCUCACCCUUUCCAUCUGCUGAGGUUACUUCAUUCCAAUCCAUUAAUGGGCUUCAAAGUGCUGCUGGGGGGAGUCCAUUUAGCAGAGAAGCUAUCACGGGGCCAAAGGUGGCGCCCACCCCCUACCCCAUUUGUCGAUAAUGGGCCACAAAGUCUGAGGCUUGGCUGCACUCUAGACAUAAAAUAUUCAUUCAAGUCGACAUAAUACAUAAGUAGGAACCUCAUGGAAGCUCCUGGGAGAAGAGAAAUGCCAGCCAGGUGGCUAAGUGCUCAAUGGGAAAGAGUUCAUGAAGGCCUGGGUUAGUCCUGAUCAAAUGCCCACUGAGAAUUGGGUUGUUCUGUCCAAAGGGGAAACAAUCUAGUCUGAGAAGUUCUGACUCCCAAAAGCUCGAACCCUGCAAACCUCUUAGGCAAGCAAAGUCUCAAUCUUUUCCUACCUCAUAGGCACCAACUCUGCUUAGGACAUUUAUGCUGAGAAAAAUCUCCAGCCCAAACUUUGGUUGGUCUGAAAGAUUAAGUUAUCCUUGUGCAAACUUUAUUUUAAUCUGCAGCAGGCCGAGUUUCAACAACUGUCUUAUAUCCAUCUGUUUAGCUACUUUCCGAAGUCCAUAAAUUGGAGAAAAGUAAUUUUUUUUUUCUGAGAUAGUGUCUUGCUC
rnacentral:lncRNA from 1 species